AUUUUUUUCCGCUUUCUCUAAAACUAUCGAACCCUAGCUAAUGACUUCAGCAGCUCACCUUGUCGACCUCAUCAUUCUCCAAGCUGAAGUUCAUCGAGUCCCCGACCUCCUUCUCCGACCCAAGCCGACUGGAGCCGCCUCCGACCUGACCCCGAGUCCCAGACCUCACCCCAUGUUCCCCUGCCUCACUCUCUGACCCCGAGUUCCCUAUCUCGUUCUCCAGACCUCGAGCUUGAGAUCCGAUCUGACUCGAUUCUUCUACACUAUCAUCAUCUGCACUCAGGGACGGAGCCACUACUUGGGAUAUCGGAAAGUAGAGACACUGUUCAUCCUCGUGCUCGUACGGUUUAAAGAAGGCUUGGUUCAAUAAAAAUUCAAAAACUUGGGUGGGCUCUAGUAUUCAUUUCGAUUUCAAGAUUAUGUGUGUGAUUUACAAACUUGGGUUCAUAUCUGGGCAACAGAACUGAGAGAAGAGCAGUUGAAGCGGAUGAAUGCUGUGGAGAUUAUGGAUGAGUCUCCAGCCCAUUUGCUUGGUUCUGCAAACAGUAAGUCAGACAAUGGGCUUAAGAAACCAGAUUGUCAAGGAAUCCUAGAUAUCAUGACAUCCGUAUGGAUGAAGUAUAUCCUGCAAAGAAAUCUAGGUCCAGAAUGCUAUUUGGAAAGGAAACUGUCAAGGAAAGUAUUUCAAUGGAGCCACCUAUCAGCCUUAAGAAUCUCUCUGCCUGCUCUAGUCUGGCUUCUAAGAGAAAGCACCAACAAAUGGGGCCAGAGACUGCAGCUCAAAGCACGGAAAAAGGUGUAGCUAAAGCUGGCCAAGCAAAUGAAAACUGUAGUCAAAGUACUUUCCGUAGUGUUACUGAGAUUUCUUCGGUAAUGAUAGGUAAUCUGGCUUUGGAUCUGUUGAUAUGAUAUAUUUCGUGACAUUCAUGUUAUCUAGAUAAUCAAAGAAUAUGCUUUAACAGUUUUAUACUCAUCUUACCAUGGUAAAGCAAUGAAAGGAAUGGGCGCCCUUGAAUCCUCAAUCGCUACUGGUUUACCUGCUAAUUCUUCUGAAAGAUGUGCAGAUCCUUCAUCAACUGGUUUUGGGAACCUUUGCUUGCCUGGUGGCAAGGUUCCUCUGGAUUUUACUUUGAAAAUGAGUAUGUGAGUGGUGUCCUCUUCCCCAACAAGUCGGAUUGUCAGGUGUAAUGGGGGUUGCUUAUAUUCAAGAAGUUGGGAAAGCCAGCCUCUUUUUUGAGUUAGGCUAGCUUUUAAUUAAUAUUUUUGUAGCAAUUAUGAACAAACAUGAAUACUAAUUGCUAGGCUAGCCUUGUAGUAGGUGAAUUGGGGUUUUAUUUUGCGCAUUUUGUAAACUGUUAAGGAUGAUGAUUUCAGAUAUAUAUUUUGUGGACA